ensembl:lncRNA
CCUAUUACUUUGCCAGCUACUUCCCUUUAUCACUUCAAAGGUUGGAACAUUUAAAUGCCUGCAUUUAUUCCAAAAAUGAGCUCUUUCUGCAGUAUGCUACAGAGCUGCACAGAAACACUUCCCUUAAUCCAUAGGAAGUUUGGAUAAAAAUGGAAAAUUGCAGCACUUCAGGUGAGAACUGAUAUAUAUUACUUCAGUUUGGAAAUUUUACUUCUGAAAUGCUUCAACAGGCCAGACACACUGUCUACACUAUCUUCUGUGACACAUUCUGAUCCUGGGAAAAAGAGAGCUACAAAUGGCAGGAUGCACAGCUUCUCUGGGGAUGCCAUAAAGGAAAAACAAGCACAAGAGGUACCCAAACCGCAAAGCAGCUCAAGGAACCCAAAAGCUGAAGCAGAAAAGCAGCCUCUUGCACUAUUCAGGAUCCCCAGCUGGUCCAAAAGAACUUUCAAGCCAGAUAAACAUUUCUGCAACACUUUUGUCUGAAUCUGAACUCUGCAUAAGGAAAUAUGGGUCUAUAAAUAAGAUACCAGACUGCAAUUCCAUUGUGCGUAGGAUUUGGUAGGAGCCUUCUGGACCACUGCAUGGGAGAGGCAGCUCAGCUGUGGCUUUCCAGGUCACCUAUACCACAUAAAUGGUUUCUUCACUGGAGGAAAGGUCAGAGAAUCCCCUCAUCCCACACAGUCCCUACGCUGCCACAUUCACAUUCUAGGACUGGUACCCAUCCUCCAAAAGUUAGGGUAUCCAUGUCCACCACCAGCCAAUCGCAACCUUGGCCAUGGACUCCUCAUAGGGCUGCAUGCCCAGAAAGCCAAGGGCUGGAUAUGCCAUUGUGAAACUGCUCCUUUCAUCUGACCUGUUUUGGGACAAAGUGCUACUAAUAGAGUGACUUCCACCCAAGUCUGUGCAUCAAGUCAAACCAGGGUUUGUGGGACAACACCUGAUGCAGAAAAUGCAAAGCUAUUAGAGAGAAGCCAGACUCAGAGAUAGUUGUCAGGAUGGGCAGUAGGGCAGAUCAGUCUUCCACACAAACUGCCUAAAAUCUGUCUGACCUCACAGCUGAGCUCCUCUUGGUCCCUGAGGUUUCCUUCAUACCAUCCUACCAACUAAAUAUGCUGUUGUUCUUGAACCUGCAAAGGAUAUGCUUAAUAUGAUUGUUUCCUCUUUCCAAUCACUUUGUUUUAAAAUGGUGUUAAAUGCUACACUUCUCAUGGAAGGCACCUGGGCAUACUCAAAGCUUGUCCACAAUUAACAGAAGUUAUCAUAGAUACUAAAAGCCACUAAAAUCCACACUCUGUGAGGAAGAACUUUGAAAUUCUUCUCCAGCCCAUGAUGAGAGCACAAAGAUAUUUUUGCCAAACUUCCCCUCCUAGCAGCCUUGUGUCUUUCUGUAGAGAUCUUAGGUACAAGUGUACAGCAUCAAUAAUGCUACUGCAAAAUUAAAUAAACACGAUAUUAAAUAUUUACUACACCAAGAGUCUCAUGCUGUGCCGCUGGUUCUUAGCAUUCAAACAUCCCAUGGGUCACUUUAAAAAGUAAGGAUUCAUUAUGACAAUCCCAGUUAAAAUAGAAA